rnacentral:piRNA from 1 species
UGGAAUGCUGGCCCAUCCUGGCCCCUGACA